CGAGAAGCAAAAACCCUGAAAAACCCUCAAUCCUCUCCAUAAUCAUUUACAAACUAAGGAGAAACAACUCGGAGACCCAAAUACAAAGGUAUAGAUUGCUGCUUAGUGUUCAAUAUGAGUUACAAUCUUCUUUACUGAAGGGUGAGAAUUGAGCCCAUGAUCGCCACUAUGAGACAUUGAAUCCAAACUCCUCAUGUGCCUAAAGGUCAUAUGCAAUUGUUGUUUUAAUGUGGUGCUUAUGCUUUCCUGAGCCGAGGGUCUAUUGGAAACAACCUCUCUAUCCUCACAAGGUAGGGGUAAGGUCUGCGUACACACUACCCUCCCCAGAUCCCACGAUGUGGGAUAAGACUGGGUAGGUUGUUGUUGUAUAGGUCAUAUGCAAAAAUUAAGAGAAAAUGUUUGGUGAAAAAGUGCCGCCGUAGAGAUUCCAGUUCCCUCUGUAGAUGAAGGCUCACUUUGACCAGCAAAGAACCAGUGUAGAGUCUAGUGAAGAGUGUAUAGAUUCCAGUUUCUGUUCUAUACAAAGGUUCACUGAGUGACCAGCAAAGAAUUGAGUAUUUUUGUAGUCGACUGUUGACAUCUGGAGUUCAUUUUCAGAUAGUGUUUUUUGUUUUGUUUUGAAGAUGUAUUAAGUAACUUUUUAUUGUACUAGAACAACUAUUGGAUGGUGUUUAUGAGAUUUCAAAGAAGAUAUGUUAGUGAGUA